AUAUUGGGCAAUGGGGGCAACCCUGACCCAGCGACGCCGCGUGGGGGAAGACGGCCUUCGGGUUGUAAACCUCCUUUGUACGGGAAGAAGGAAGUGACGGUACUGUACGAAUAAGUCCCGGCUAACUACGUGCCAGCAGCCGCGGUAAUACGUAGGGGACGAGCGUUGUCCGGAAUUACUGGGCGUAAAGGGCGCGCAGGCUGUGCUGCAAGUCAGCUGUUAAAUGUCUGGGCUUAACCCGGGCAUGCGGUUGAGACUGCGGUGCUGGAGUGCUGUAGAGGCAAGUGGAAUUCCCAGUGUAGCGGUGAAAUGCGUAGAUAUUGGGAAGAACACCGGUGGCGAAGGCGACUUGCUGGGCAGCAACUGACGCUGAGGCGCGAAAGCCAGGGGAGCAAACGG
rnacentral:rRNA from 1 species